GGGAAUCUAAUACCUCUUAUAAAUUGUCAAAAAGAACACAAAAGGUUAACUAUUUGUGUUAAAAAAAUAUGACCCCAGAAGUUGUAAGAAACAAGGACAAAAGGAGAGACACCAUUAUAACCUACAGUCAGGCGGCCCCCUUAAUUACUGCUAUGCAUAGCCUUCUUGGAUAUUGUGAGAUAUUGCAAAUCAAUCUUCUGGCAUUGUAUUAAGUUUAUAUUUUUAAUAUAAU
rnacentral:misc_RNA from 1 species